CUCUGCCAAAAGGUGCUCCAGUGCUGAUAUUCUGUUAAGAGAGCCUGCCAACAGUUAGAUUUGUCCUUGGAUCCCGUUCACAUUCCCUCCUCCCCCACCCACCUUCUCUGUGAUCCUAUUUCGACCCAAGGUAUCCAGCGCAGAAGGGGAUACACCUAAUCGAUUUCUCAUACUUUAAUUUAAAGGUGGCAUGCAGGCAUCUAAUUACUUAACCGGGAGUCUAAUAGCCUGUUUCGUACUUUUGCGCCACAAAAAUGCCGCCAGGUCUGGGGGAGCUGAAACUGUUAACAAGACAAGAUCGAUGGUUCCAUCCGAGCUUGAAUCACCUCUAUUAUCCGUUCCUCAGCCUCCUUUCCUUCCACCUACUCACGCACCUCUCUUACAGUUGUCCCUUUACUUUAACCCUUGUUCUUUUUCUUUUUAUAAAAUCAAGCCCUCCGAUAUAGCCAAGAGAACCUGAUUGCACGUCAGCCCUCAGUGAGACUUGGUCAUGUUUAUCCGUUUCUUUUGGUGGUCUGGUUGUGACAGAGGUUUCUAGGUGCUAAUGAUAACCACCAACCCCCGGCCCUCACCUUCCUCCACAGGGCCAUGGCAUUUGGACACGUAGUUUCUGACACCCACGUGAAAUUGAUGACCUGCUGAUAAAUACAACCACAGUGGGCAGAGCUGUUUUACCAAGCUACUACAUUCAGGCACACUGACAUCUGUGAUGACGAUGCUACAGUUUGUGCACACUGUGCUACCAGUAAAUAAUGAUGAUAAUCAGAAUAAAGAUCAAGUCAACAUGACAUCACAUUUUUCCCUCUAAAACAACAACAAAAAAACACUGAACACAUUAAGAAACAAACAAGCAAACAAAAAUCACAGCUUAACUUCAGAUAAAGGAACAACUGACAGGCCGAAAGAGUGACAGCCAUCUGCUUGCUGCAUGCCACAGAUUGUGAUGCUAUGUGAUGGACUGUCCAUGUCAGUGAAGGCGCAGGUGGUCCACUACAGCAGAAACAGAUUUAAACUUAAGAGGCCGAGCUGUGGUUGAGUUAAACCCUGAUCUGAGCAGUGGACACUUUAUCCCAUUGGCCUUAAUUGGUUGUUUUCUCUUACCCGCCCCCUACCACCACCAUCUAAUUACCAAGGUAUUACACAGUAAUAACAGAUGGAGACCGAGUAGUACCACAGUUGUUUGGGGCUGGUGUGCGUCUCCUUGAGUGGUGGCGUGAGCAUGUGCGCGCGUGCGCGUGUGUUUCGGGCGAUUUUGCUGGCAUGUGACUGCAAGCAAUUUCACAUUUAAGGAAUAACAGUCUCGCGGGCAGAAUAUGGAAGGCUUUGUAGGUGGUGACAGGCAGCUCAAACAGCACACAUGGACAGCAGACACAGGCGGCCAAGUGGCGUUACAAACACGAACACAGUUUUUCACCGGAGAGGUGCAUUCAGGUGUGGAAUGUGGUCAGUCAACCGGGGCUACUUACCCAUGUCUAAUGUUGUCUCACACUCGGCUCUAACGUGUAAAUAUUUUAUCACGAUCAUUUACAAUCCAUUUAGAGACAUUUUACGCAAGCGACGGAUGGGGUGACAGCCUCCCGUGGAGCUGUCAAACGGUGCCAGAAGAGACGGAUAUGUUUUUUGACAGAAAAUCCCGGGGAAAAUGGCGUCAACGGUGCUUUGGAAAGCAAAGAGAAAAAAAAAAGGAGAGCGAGAAAAUAGGAUUUGCAGUCGAUCUGGUGGCAGAAUCAAGGUAGCCGCACAGGGGAGGAGAAAAAAUCCAAUCGGAAACUUGGCGCUUGGGUCCAGUUCCUGGUAGAAAUAAGAUCUUUAGAGGCUCUGGCGCGUUGACUCGCGCUGUGGAGAGCCGCCGCUGACGCCGCCGCCGUGCGCACUGAGUCUCCGAUGCCUUGCGGGAUCGCUGGUCACUCGGAGAGCUUGCACGGCACUGAGAUCCCUCGCAAAUCCGCUACUCGGCUGGUUUGGGAGGAGGAGGGGGGUGAGAGCAGGACUGUUACUGCAGUCAAAACAAGCCCGCAUCCGACUACAAGCCCAAAUCCAGCAGCGGGGGGUGGAAUUUCAGCGACAAGACCGCGCUUUUAGUCGUCAGUGGGCUGCACAAGAGGCAGGAGAUGGAAAUGGCUUGUGCGCAAACCACUACUACUGGAAUGAGCUGCGAUGGUGCUAUUUGAGCUACGCAGCUUGACUGCUCCAUGAGUGAACACGCUAACCUUGAGCUGACAUUGUGAGCAGCCGAGACUCACGGUCAACCAGCGAGGGGCUUCUCUCUGGGAGUCCACUAAUCUCGCAGGGCAGCGGCGGGCUCAUCAGAGCUCCGAGACCUCUGGGACUGAUGGAGAAGGUGCGAGGGCCGUGCUGAUGGAAUGAGAAGUUAAUGGGA
ensembl:lncRNA